rnacentral:rRNA from 1 species
ACGGGUGAGUAACACGUGGGUAACCUGCCUGUAAGAUUGGGAUAACUCCGGGAAACCGGGGCUAAUACCGAAUAAUACAUAGAAUCGCAUGAUUCUAUGUUGAAAGAUGGUUUCGGCUAUCACUUACAGAUGGACCCGCGGCGCAUUAGCUAGUUGGUGAGGUAACGGCUCACCAAGGCAACGAUGCGUAGCCGACCUGAGAGGGUGAUCGGCCACACUGGGACUGAGACACGGCCCAGACUCCUACGGGAGGCAGCAGUAGGGAAUCUUCGGCAAUGGACGAAAGUCUGACCGAGCAACGCCGCGUGAGUGAAGAAGGUUUUCGGAUCGUAAAACUCUGUUGUUAAGGAAGAACAAGUACGAGAGUAACUGCUCGUACCUUGACGGUACUUAACCAGAAAGCCACGGCUAACUACGUGCCAGCAGCCGCGGUAAUACGUAGGUGGCAAGCGUUGUCCGGAAUUAUUGGGCGUAAAGCGCGCGCAGGCGGUCUUUUAAGUCUGAUGCGAAAGCCCCCGGCUCAACCGGGGAGGGUCAUUGGAAACUGGGAGACUUGAGUGCAGAAGAGAAGAGCGGAAUUCC